UAUGAAUGAUGCUGGACACUUCAGCUAUGGGAUUUGGGCUGAGCUGAGUCAUUCCAAGGUGGCUGAAGGUUGGGUCACACUAUGUAUUUGGGUAUUUCUUUGCUUUGCUUUUUAUGGCAAGAGAUGAGAGCUCAUCAUGGGAACCGUCAUUAUUUUCUCACUCUGACAGAUCCUCUGAUGAAAGCUGCUUCACCUGAGAGCUGCUACUUGACAGUGUAAUUGGACAAAGUUAUGACAGGAUGUUAAGGACA
rnacentral:lncRNA from 1 species